rnacentral:rRNA from 1 species
UACAGAGGGUGCGAGCGUUGUUCGGAAUUACUGGGCGUAAAGCGCGCGCAGGCGGCCUUUUAAGUCUGACGGUGAAAUGCCGGGGCUCAACCCCGUGCCCGCCGCGGAUACUGGGAGGCUGGAGACAUGUAGAGGCAAGCGGAAUUCCGGGUGUAGCGGUGGAAUGCGUAGAGAUUCGGAAGAACACCGGAGGCGAAGGCGGCUGCUGGGCAUUG